rnacentral:rRNA from 1 species
AGAGUUUGAUCAUGGCUCAGAUUGAACGCUGGCGGCAUGCCUUACACAUGCAAGUCGAACGGCAGCGGGCCCUUCGGGGUGCCGGCGAGUGGCGAACGGGUGAGUAAUGCAUCGGAACGUACCCGGGAGUGGGGGAUAACCGGCCGAAAGGCUGGCUAAUACCGCAUGAACUCGGAAGAGCAAAGCGGGGGACCUUCGGGCCUCGCGCUCUCGGAGCGGCCGAUGUCCGAUUAGCUAGUUGGUGAGGUAAAGGCUCACCAAGGCGACGAUCGGUAGCGGGUCUGAGAGGACGAUCCGCCACACUGGGACUGAGACACGGCCCAGACUCCUACGGGAGGCAGCAGUGGGGAAUCUUGGACAAUGGGCGCAAGCCUGAUCCAGCAAUGCCGCGUGGGUGAAGAAGGCCUUCGGGUUGUAAAGCCCUUUCGGCGGGGAAGAAAUCGGCCGGGCGAAUAGUUCGGCUGGAUGACGGUACCCGCAGAAGAAGCACCGGCUAACUACGUGCCAGCCGCCGCGGUAAUUC